rnacentral:tRNA from 1 species
AUAUAUAUGGUGUAAACAACACCUUACCUUUUCACGGUAAAAAUAUAGAACUUCUAUUAUAUAUA